UACGUAGGUGGCGAGCGUUGUCCGGAAUGACUGGGCGUAAAGCGCGCGCAGGCGGCCGUUUAAGUCUGGGGUGAAAACCCGGGGCUCAACCCUGGGAGCGCCUUGGAGACUGGAUGGCUUGAGCGUCGGAGAGGCAAGGGGAAUUCCAUGUGUAGCGGUGAAAUGCGUAGAGAUAUGGAGGAACACCAGUGGCGAAGGCGGCCAUCUGGGACAACACUGACGCUGAAGCACGAAAGCGUGGGGAGCAAACAGG
rnacentral:rRNA from 1 species